GAUGAACGCUGGCGGCGUGCCUAAUACAUGCAAGUCGAGCGAUUCGGGGCCGGGUGUGUAACACGUGGAUAACCUCCUCUAAGACUGGGAUAACUUCGGGAAACCGGAGCUAUACCGGAUACUUAUACAUGGAUCCGCGCUGCAUUAUCUAGUUGGUUAGGUAACGGCUUACCAGGGCAACGAUGGAUGGCCGACCUGAGAGGGUGAUGGGCCACAAUGGAACUGAGACCGGGGCCAGACUCCGAGGGGAGGCAGCAGGAGGGAAUCUGCCGAAAUGGGCGAAAGCCGGACGGAGCAACGCCGCGUGAGUGAUGAAGGUCUUCGGAUCGUAAAACUCUGUUAUCAGGGAAGCGGUACCUAAACAGAAAGCCACGGCUAACUACGUGCCAGCAGCCGCGGUAAUUC
rnacentral:rRNA from 1 species